AUUGAACGCUGGCGGCAGGCCUAACACAUGCAAGUCGAACGGCAGCACAGAAGAGCUUGCUCUUUGGGUGGCGAGUGGCGGACGGGUGAGUAAUGUCUGGGAAACUGCCCGAUGGAGGGGGAUAACUACUGGAAACGGUAGCUAAUACCGCAUAACGUCGCAAGACCAAAGUGGGGGCCCUGCGGGCUUCACACCAUCGGAUGUGCCCAGAUGGGAUUAGCUAGUAGGUGGGGUAAUGGCUCACCUAGGCGACGAUCCCUAGCUGGUCUGAGAGGAUGACCAGCCACACUGGAACUGAGACACGGUCCAGACUCCUACGGGAGGCAGCAGUGGGGAAUAUUGCACAAUGGGCGCAAGCCUGAUGCAGCCAUGCCGCGUGUAUGAAGAAGGCCUUCGGGUUGUAAAGUACUUUCAGCGGGGAGGAAGGCGGUGAGGUUAAUAACCUUGCCGAUUGACGUUACCCGCAGAAGAAGCACCGGCUAACUCCGUGCCAGCCGCCGCCGUAAUAC
rnacentral:rRNA from 1 species